UACGUAGGGGGCAAGCGUUAUCCGGAUUCACUGGGUGUAAAGGGAGCGUAGACGGCCAUGCAAGCCUGGAGUGAAAGCCCGGGGCCCAACCCCGGGACUGCUCUGGGAACUGUGCGGCUGGAGUGCGGGGGGGGCAGGCGGAAUUCCUGGUGUAGCGGUGAAAUGCGUAGAUAUCAGGAGGAACACCGGCGGCGAAGGCGGCCUGCUGGACCGCGACUGACGUUGAGGCUCGAAAGCGUGGGGAGCAAACAGG
rnacentral:rRNA from 1 species